rnacentral:rRNA from 1 species
GACGAACGCUGGCGGCGUGCUUAAUGCAUGCAAGUCGAACGAGGCCCCAUCGACGGGUAACCGUCGCGGGGUCCUAGUGGCGAACGGGUGAGUAACACGUGAGGAACCUGCCCCGGAGUUCGGGAUAGCCCAGGGAAACCUGGAUUAAUACCGGAUACCCUCGACCGGUCGCAUGUCUGGUCGAGGAAAGGUCCGCCGCUCCGAGAUGGCCUCGCGGCCUAUCAGCUUGUUGGUGAGGUAACGGCUCACCAAGGCAACGACGGGUAGCUGGUCUGAGAGGACGAACAGCCACACUGGGACUGAGACACGGCCCAGACUCCUACGGGAGGCAGCAGCAGGGAAUAUUGCACAAUGGGCGAAAGCCUGAUGCAGCGACGCCGCGUGAGGGAUGAAGGCCUCCGGGUCGUAAACCUCUUUCAGGAGGGAAGAAGCGCAAGUGACGGUACCUCCAGAAGAAGCCCC